AGUCGGACGCUUAACCGACUGCGCCACCCAGGUGCCCCGAGAUUACUUUAAAAAUAAAAAAGAAAUCUUAAACAUAAUCCUUAGCAAAGAACCUGGAGUCUUGAGGAGAUCUGGGCCCCUUCAUAAUGAUGGUGCUGAGGGUCAUAAUAACAGCAGCUCCCAACUUGUGGGCAGGAAGAUGCCUGCAGACAUGAUCUCAUUCCGUCCUCACUCCUGCCUUGAAGUUAACUACCUGUGAUCCCAUCCUCCAGAUAAGUGGCCUACGGGGCCGGAGGCCAUGCUACUGGUGACUUCUAGCUCUAAAUGUCACAUCCCAGGGCACCUGGAUGGCUCAGUCACUUAAGCCUCUGACUCUUGAUUUCAGUUCGGGUCAUGAUCUUGUGGUCUGUGAGUUCAAGCCCUGAGUCGGGCUCUGCACUGACGGCACGGAGCCUGCCUGGGAUUCUCUCUCCCCUCUCUCUCUGCCCCUCCCCUGCUAGCGCUCUCUGUCUCUCACAAUAAAUAAAUAAACAUUUAAGUGCCGAGUCCUAAUCCCUCUCUGCACUGCACUGGCCUCUGAGCGAUGUCUAUACCUUUGUCAUCACCUUUAAGGGGGAUGAAAUAGCAGGUAACUAAAGGCAGUGUGUUUCCCUGGAUGGGAUCCCGGGAUGGAAAAAGGACCUUUGUGGAAAAACUGGUGAGAUGGAAUGAGGUCUGGAGUUUGGUGAAUAGCAGCAGGCCGGCAUUGGUUUCCUCCUUUUAACAAAUGCGCUGUGGUUUUUGUAAGAUGUUAACAAAAGGGUGAAGAGUGUAAGGAAACUCUGUGAUCUUUGCAACAUUUCUGCAAAUCCGAACCUAUUCCCAAAUGAAAAGUUUCUUCCUAAAAAGGUAAGCGGACAAAGAGGGAAAGCCUGUGAGGGGGGUGGGGGGCACUGCCUGUCAUGGACAAGAGGACACACAAAGGCCAUCAGAUGCUUUUGCAAAUGGGCAUGUGCUGAGCUGGGGGAGGGAGGAGUUUCACUGAUGGAGGCCCAGAAGGGGAAGUAGAUUCACAAUUGUUCUCAGGACUGGAGCAAGCCCCUCCCCCUCCCCCACCGCACCUCACAGCCCCAUGUAAACAAGUGCUUUGGAGAUGGCAUUCCCUAACCCGGGUGGCCUGUCGAGCCUGGGGGUGCUAGGGUGGGGUGGGGAAAGUGCUGGGGCUCCCCUCCACCCCAGAAACCAGGAGACAGAUGUCAAAUGAGGGGUGGGGUGGUGAGGGGGGGGUCACAGAAAUUCACGGUGACCUUUAGCCGGCGUGUGUGACAGAUAUUGUCCUUUCUGUAAACAAAGCGAGGAUUCCUCAGAAAACAAUACAGCCAAGGACUCUCCAGCUGGUUCUUUAAAGCCAGUGGGGAUCAGAAGUUCAUGGGGAGACACUGGGGAGAGCAGGAGAGAAGCCGAGAGAUAUUAGCCCUGAAGGCCUGAUCAAAGGCCGGAUCAGAAGGCAGAUUCGAGAAGGGAAGGGUUGAUGAGGGAAGGCUGAGAAAACUCUGGGGGCUGUGAGUCAUGGGCCAGGCAGCUGGGGCUGUGGCGUGGCCAGAACCCAGCUGGAGCCUCCCUUGAAAAUCUGCCCCCCUCCGACCAGCACCCCAUCCUGGGCCGGGCAGAGCUCUGGGGUGGCCGCAUGGAGGCCCCAUGUGGAGGGAAGAAACCACUUGCCUGGAGCUCCCGUUUCAUUCAUUUGUUCCUUCCUUCAUUCAUAAAACUUUCUUUGACCCUUCCGUAUGCAGGUGCCUGCCCUCAGUUGAGAGCUCAGUUUAAUGGGGAAGAGAGAUGAGAGAACAGCCCCGCAGGAGGACGCGCACGGCUGGCAGGCCUGGAGAGGAAGGCCGAAGAGUGUUCACCAAGCUGGGGCCCAAUGGAGGAGUGGGCGUCAGCCAGUGAAGAAAGUUCUGUUUUGUUUUUUGGAGGAGCCAAGAUCAUCAAUUGCAGUAAUUCUGCCGGGAGUAUUUGAAAUAUCCAGGAUUAAGUUGUCUUUAAGCUGAAUGCCCCUAGAUGACAGGACCCUGAGUGGAUUUGAGGAUGUCCAAAAGAAUGUAUGUGACAUAUGUAAGUUAGAAGGCAUAAUAAACUGUGUGCUUUUGAUGCCCAA